rnacentral:rRNA from 1 species
AGCGAACGCUGGCGGCAGGCUUAACACAUGCAAGUCGAGCGGGCGUAGCAAUACGUCAGCGGCAGACGGGUGAGUAACGCGUGGGAACAUACCUUUUGGUUCGGAACAACACAGGGAAACUUGUGCUAAUACCGGAUAAGCCCUUACGGGGAAAGAUUUAUCGCCGAAAGAUUGGCCCGCGUCUGAUUAGCUUGUUGGUGAGGUAAUGGCUCACCAAGGCGACGAUCAGUAGCUGGUCUGAGAGGAUGAUCAGCCACAUUGGGACUGAGACACGGCCCAAACUCCUACGGGAGGCAGCAGUGGGGAAUAUUGGACAAUGGGCGCAAGCCUGAUCCAGCCAUGCCGCGUGAGUGAUGAAGGCCCUAGGGUUGUAAAGCUCUUUUGUGCGGGAAGAUAAUGACGGUACCGCAAGAAUAA